AAUCCGUCGACUUUUAAAAUCGUGAGGGUUCAAGU
rnacentral:tRNA from 2 species